CCUACGGGAGGCUGCAGUCGAGAAUCAUUCACAAUGGGGGAAACCCUGAUGGUGCGACGCCGCGUGGGGGAAUGAAGGUCUUCGGAUUGUAAACCCCUGUCAUGUGGGAGCAAAUUAAAAAGAUAGUACCACACGAGGAAGAGACGGCUAACUCUGUGCCAGCAGCCGCGGUAAUACAGAGGUCUCAAGCGUUGUUCGGAAUCACUUGGCGUAAAGCGUGCGUAGGCUGUGUCGUAAGUCGUGUGUGAAAGGCGCGGGCUCAACCCGCGGACGGCACAUGAUACUGCGAGACUAGAGUAAUGGAGGGGGAACCGGAAUUCUCGGUGUAGCAGUGAAAUGCGUAGAUAUCGAGAGGAACACUCGGGGCGAAGGCGGGUUCCUGGACAUUAACUGACGCUGAGGCACGAAGGCCAGGGGAGCGAAAGGGAUUAGAUACCCCGGUAGUC
rnacentral:rRNA from 1 species